rnacentral:rRNA from 1 species
GAUGAACGCUGGCGGCGUGCCUAAUACAUGCAAGUCGAGCGAACAGACGAGGAGCUUGCUCCUCUGACGUUAGCGGCGGACGGGUGAGUAACACGUGGAUAACCUACCUAUAAGACUGGGAUAACUUCGGGAAACCGGAGCUAAUACCGGAUAAUAUAUUGAACCGCAUGGUUCAAUAGUGAAAGACGGUUUUGCUGUCACUUAUAGAUGGAUCCGCGCCGCAUUAGCUAGUUGGUAAGGUAACGGCUUACCAAGGCGACGAUGCGUAGCCGACCUGAGAGGGUGAUCGGCCACACUGGAACUGAGGCACGGUCCAGAUUCCUACGGGAGGCAGCAGUAGGGAAUCUUCCGCAAUGGGCGAAAGCCUGACGGAGCAACGCCGCGUGAGUGAUGAAGGUCUUCGGAUCGUAAAACUCUGUUAUUAGGGAAGAACAAAUGUGUAAGUAACUAUGCACGUCUUGACGGUACCUAAUCAGAAAGCCACGGCUAACUACGUG